GAUGAACGCUAGCUACAGGCUUAACACAUGCAAGUCGAGGGGAAACGACAUCGAAAGCUUGCUUUUGAUGGGCGUCGACCGGCGCACGGGUGAGUAACGCGUAUCCAACCUGCCCACCACUUGGGGAUAACCUUGCGAAAGUAAGACUAAUACCCAAUGACGUCUCUAGAAGACAUCUGAAAGAGAUUAAAGAUUUAUCGGUGAUGGAUGGGGAUGCGUCUGAUUAGCUUGUUGGCGGGGUAACGGCCCACCAAGGCGACGAUCAGUAGGGGUUCUGAGAAGAAGGUCCCCCACAUUGGAACUGAGACACGGUCCAAACUCCUACGGGAGGCAGCAGUGAGGAAUAUUGGUCAAUGGGCGAGAGCCUGAACCAGCCAAGUAGCGUGCAGGAUGACGGCCCUAUGGGUUGUAAACUGCUUUUAUAAGGGAAUAAAGUGAGUCUCGUGAGACUUUUUGCAUGUACCUUAUGAAUAAGGACCGGCUAAUUCCGUGCCAGCAGCCGCCGCGG
rnacentral:rRNA from 1 species